GUGGGGAAUAUUGCGCAAUGGGGGAAACCCUGACGCAGCAACGCCGCGUGAUUGAAGAAGGCCUUCGGGUUGUAAAGCACUUUCAGCGGGGAGGAAGGCGGUGAGGUUAAUAACCUCACCGAUUGACGUUACCCGCAGAAGAAGCACCGGCUAACUCCGUGCCAGCAGCCGCGGUAAUACGGAGGGUGCAAGCGUUAAUCGGAAUUACUGGGCGUAAAGCGCACGCAGGCGGUCUGUCAAGUCGGAUGUGAAAUCCCCGGGCUUAACCUGGGAACUGCGUUCGAAACUGGCAGGCUAGAGUCUUGUAGAGGGGGGUAGAAUUCCAGGUGUAGCGGUGAAAUGCGUAGAGAUCUGGAGGAAUACCGGUGGCGAAGGCGGCCCCCUGGACAAAGACUGACGCUCAGGUGCGAAAGCGUGGGGAGCAAACAGGAUUAGAAACCCGAGUAGUCC
rnacentral:rRNA from 1 species